AUUGAACGCUGGCGGCGUGCCUAAUACAUGCAAGUCGAACGAGGGGCGGACUGGUUAGUAACACGUGGGAACCUACCCAUCAGAGGGGGAUAACACUUGGAAACAGGCGCUAAUACCGCAUAUUGCUGGAUGGACCCGCGGUGCAUUAGCUAGUAGGUGGGGUAAAGGCUCACCUAGGCGACGAUCCCUAGCUGGUCUGAGAGGAUGAUCAGCCACACUGGGACUGAGACACGGCCCAGACUCCUACGUGAGGCAGCAGUGGGGAAUAUUGCACAAUGGGCUCAAGCCUGAUGCAGCCAUGCCGCGUGUAUGAAGAAGGCCUUAGGGUUGUAAAGUACUUUCAGUGGGGAGGCGUUAACCGCAGAAGAAGCACCGGCUAACUCCGUGCCAGCAGCCGCGGUAAUUC
rnacentral:rRNA from 1 species